rnacentral:lncRNA from 1 species
GAUUCCCUGAGCCUUGACAAAGCAGGAGCCCUCCGUGGCGGUGCGUCGGUGUCGAGGCUCCAAUCUGACUAAUCCAGGGGGUCGACAAAACAGAUUCGGGACACUAUGCUACACGGAGGGCCUACCAGGAUGCAGAAACAGCAGACGGAGUCCAGGGAAAGCAGUGCGGCAUCCCAGCCUCAGGCCUGCCCGUACGGUGUUCGGAAAUACUAGGCUUUAGAAUUUCACCUUAUGAAUUUUGGGAGAGAGGAGCACAGUUCAGCCCAUAACUAACACACGUGAUGAAGAAGACAUGCCAACAGAGGGUUAAUUCCAGAUAAAAUGAAAUGUUCCAAACAGUACGUUUGGUUAUUUGAUCCAUCUGUGGGGGAAGGAAAGAUAAUUUUCCAAAGGACAUUCCUCCUAAAUUCUGUCUUAAAGUUGUUUACGGAAUGAAGUUGAUAAUAGUGAGACCUUGUUGGUACAAGACUCUGUAACAUAACCUGCGCUUCUCAACAAAGAAUUGCUUUUCUGACUUCUGCACUCAAUAGCAAGACAAAUCUCUCCUCUGUCUUUUUCUUAUCAGACUACUCAACAUGAAGGCAAUAAGAAUGAAGACCUUUAUGUAUAAUAAUUGACUUCCACUUAAUAAAUAAGGUUACUUGGUACACUGGUCGACAAAACCUUGAAAUGUUGAUGUUUAAGGGCUGUUGAUUGCUGGCAACAAAGAAGUCCAACUGUGCUGGUACCCGAGAUAGCGUCUCCACAUUUUCUUCCAGGAUCAUCACCUUUGUUGUAAAUAGCUCCCACAUAGUGUGAACAGAAGUCAUAUGUUUUAGAUUUUCUGCCUUGGCACCC